CGUGGUACUCUUGUGGUAAGG
rnacentral:miRNA from 1 species